GCAGACGGCGAAGCUCACGUUCUCAGGAAAGGGUGGUGGGGGCCCGGGGUGCGUGAGAGGCGCCUGGGCGCAGGCGCAGACGACGGGGGUCGAGUUGGGCAGGCGGUAGGGGCGACCUGGGAGAAGGUCCCUGCUGCAGACGUGGAAAUGCAUCUUGUUCCAGUACAUCACAUUCCAGGGAGCAAAGAAUUCUUUUACAAAGCCGGGUGUCAUCAUUUUCUUAGAAGAAGAACCAUUGCAACAGGGCUCAAAGUUGACUCUGCUGGAAAGGCAAGGGACAGGGAAAUGAUGAUAACAUAAGCAGCCGGCUGUGUCAUUCCUUCCAUUUGUAUC
rnacentral:lncRNA from 1 species